UGUCCGAAACUUGUAUAAAUACAGCGACUUUUAAGAUAUAUUUAUUACAGAAGAGUUGUCUUCUAAAUAACUACAACAAUGGGCUGCAAACUUGUAUGUGUGAUUCUAGGAAUAUGCUUCAUGGCAACUGUCUUCGAGUUGGAAGCGGCUUCCAUAGAAGAAGCCAAGCCCAAAGAACCUGCCCCAGAGGAACUUGCUCCUGCUAUUUCUCCUGCUAUUGCUCCUGCUCCAGCACAUGCUCCCAGGAUAUCUCAAAAAGAGGAGGAACAUGAACGACAGAGAAUAUAACAAAACAGACGAAGUGCAUGAAAAAAAUGGAAGGCGUAUUGCAAAUGAGAAAUGGACAAUAGCUUUGCUUGAGAAAUUUUAUACUAAGUUAAAAUAAACAAUUAUAUGAGCAAAUAUUAUGUCUUAUUCAUAUUU